rnacentral:lncRNA from 1 species
CAGAUAAGCUCUGCUUUUUUCCAAUAGAUGGUUAUUAUUUUGUUCAAGAAAGAUAAGAGUACAGGCUUGCUGAGGUAGAAACACGUGAACAGUCUGAGUGCCGAGGCUGAUGGAAGCAUGGGCUUGAUUGGAUUGUUCGAACCAGGGACUCACCUAGAAGGUCAGGGGUCUCAGAAUCCAGAAAGGACCAGUCCUCAUUCCUGGCAUUGCCCUGCCAGCUUUGUUCCCUCUGGGUCACAGAGACACUUUUUGAAUUAAGGACACUGUUUGGAAGCAGAGGGACCUGGUUUGAAUGUCCUUUUCUCCAGCAUGUACAAUUUCUGGGAACUUGGGCAUAAAAGAGUGAGCCAGAGACAAGGUGUCUACCCUUGCAGAGCUCAGAGCCAGGGGACAGAGGUGACAGAGGGAAAUCACCUAACAGCACACAUAGGUAGUUACCACACUGCUGUGUGUUAUGAUGGAACACCGCAGGGAGUUAUGAGUGCUUAACGGGGCCGGGAGAUCCAGGGCAAGGAAGACAGCCGGCAGGAACUGACAUGUGAGGAGAGAGUGAAGGAGGACUUCACAAGGAGGACUUAUCAGUUGUCAUUAUAUCAUCAUUGGAGCCCAGGGCAUCAUCAUCUGUAGCCUGACCCCUUCCAUUGUUUCUAAGUGUGCUCCUUGCUUCUGUCGCUUGCUCACCUAUCAUCAUCAUGCAGAGUAGCUGGAACCAUCUUCCAAGAAAUUAAGGCCAGAUGUUUUAUCCUGCUAUGUUAAGUCAUCUUGACAUGUUGCCAUGAAAUGGAAACAACUGCUAGUUUUAAUAUUGCUCCAUAUCUUUAUUACAAGGGGAAAAGCUUGAAGUUUGCAGAUGAAGACCUGUGUUUUCCUUGAAUGGGGAACCAACUGGCUCAGCCAGCAGCUGAAGAUGACUUUAUGGUUCUGUAAAUCAGGGUUGCCUACAACGAGGAUAACAGCAAGAAAUUCCCUGAGAAGCCACAGGACCUGAGCAGCACUCACAUUUGGAAAUGUCAACACUCCUAAUAAAAAUAAAACCCAGAAACCUCCACUAUCAGUAGAAUUUCUUGAGAGGGCCGGGCAAAUGAAUCAAGAAAUCUCAGCCUUUCCCCCCAAGAUUCACCUUCCUGCUGGAGCUUCUCAAAUAUUACUGCUACCACCACGAUGCUCUCCUCCAAAGAACCCCUUCUGCUUUUAACAUUUGGGGCCACCAUAUAGGUGAAAGACUCACCCACUUGUCCAGCUGAGCUGUACAACGAGACUUGCUUGGAGAUGGCGAUGAGAAAAUAAAACUAGG